rnacentral:rRNA from 1 species
GACGGACCACCCAAACGUUAUUCGGAAUCACUGGGCUUAAAGGGUGCGUAGGCGGCGUAGUAAGUCGGGUGUGAAAUCCCCCAGCUUAACUGGGGAAUUGCGCCCGAAACUGUUGCGCUCGAGGGAGACAGAGGUGAGCGGAACUGAUGGUGGAGCGGUGAAAUGCGUUGAUAUCAUCAGGAACACCGGUGGCGAAAGCGGCGUCACUGGGUCUCUUCUGACGCUCAGGCAGCGAA